AUUGAACGCUGGCGGCAGGCUUAACACAUGCAAGUCGAGCGAGCGGCGGACGGGUGAGUAAUGUCUGGGAAACUGCCUGAUGGAGGGGGAUAACUACUGGAAACGGUAGCUAAUACCGCAUACUAUCAGCUGUGCCCAGAUGGGAUUAGCUAGUAGGUGGGGUAAAGGCUCACCUAGGCGACGAUCCCUAGCUGGUCUGAGAGGAUGAUCAGCCACACUGGAACUGAGACACGGUCCAGACUCCUACGUGAGGCAGCAGUGGGGAAUAUUGCACAAUGGGCGCAAGCCUGAUGCAGCCAUGCCGCGUGUAUGAAGAAGGCCUUCGGGUUGUAAAGCACUUUCAGCGGGGAGGCGUUACUCGCAGAAGAAGCACCGGCUAACUCCGUGCCAGCAGCCGCGGUAAUAC
rnacentral:rRNA from 1 species